rnacentral:rRNA from 1 species
GUGGGGAAUAUUGGACAAUGGGCGCAAGCCUGAUCCAGCCAUGCCGCGUGAGUGAUGAAGGCCUUAGGGUUGUAAAGCUCUUUCGUCAGGGAAGAUAAUGACGGUACCUGAAGAAGAAGCCCCGGCUAACUUCGUGCCAGCAGCCGCGGUAAUACGAAGGGGGCUAGCGUUGCUCGGAAUCACUGGGCGUAAAGCGCACGUAGGCGGCUUUCUAAGUCAGGGGUGAAAUCCUGGAGCUCAACUCCAGAACUGCCUUUGAUACUGGAGAGCUUGAGUUCGGGAGAGGUGAGUGGAACUGCGAGUGUAGAGGUGAAAUUCGUAGAUAUUCGCAAGAACACCAGUGGCGAAGGCGGCUCACUGGCCCGAUACUGACGCUGAGGUGCGAAAGCGUGGGGAGCAAACAGGAUUAGAUACCCUUGUAGUCC